rnacentral:rRNA from 1 species
UACGUAGGCAGCGAGCGUUGUUCGGAGUUACUGGGCGUAAAGCGUGCGUAGGCGGUUGUCUAAGUUUGGUGUGAAAUCUCCCGGCUUAACUGGGAGGGUGCGCCGAAAACUGGGUGACUGGAGUGUCGGAGAGGUAAGCGGAAUUCCUGGUGUAGCGGUGAAAUGCGUAGAGAUCAGGAGGAACACCCGUGGCGAAAGCGGCUCUCUGGAACGGUACUGACGCUGAGACGCGAAAGCGUGGGGAGCGAACAGG